AACGAACGCUGGCGGCAUGCCUAACACAUGCAAGUCGAACGAGACCUUCGGGCCUAGUGGCGCACGGGUGCGUAACGCGUGGGAACCUGCCCUUAGGUUCGGAAUAACUCCCCGAAAGGGGUGCUAAUACCGGAUAAUGUCUUCGGACCAAAGAUUUAUCGCCUUUGGAUGGGCCCGCGUUGGAUUAGCUAGUUGGUAGGGUAAAAGCCUACCAAGGCGACGAUCCAUAGCUGGUCUGAGAGGAUGAUCAGCCACACUGGGACUGAGACACGGCCCAGACUCCUACGGGAGGCAGCAGUGGGGAAUAUUGGACAAUGGGCGAAAGCCUGAUCCAGCAACGCCGCGUGAGUGAUGAAGGCCUUAGGGUUGUAAAGCUCUUUUACCCGGGAUGAUAAUGACAGUACCGGGAGAAUAAGCUCCGGCUAACUCCGUG
rnacentral:rRNA from 1 species